GAAGAAAAGAGAUCUGCUGUCAAAAAUGAUGACCAGUCCUUGUUGAUAGUUGGAGACAAACAAAUUUCUGACCCCUUGAAGGGAACUGACGGAUGGUUGGAUGAAGUCCAGGGUCUGAAACUGGCAACGCCUUGCGUGUCAGCC